rnacentral:rRNA from 1 species
AUGAACGCUGGCGGCGUGCCUAAUCCCUGCAAGUCGAGCGAACAGACGAGGAGCUUGCUCCUCUGACGUUAGCGGCGGACGGGUGAGUAACACGUGGAUAACCUACCUAUAAGACUGGGAUAACUUCGGGAAACCGGAGCUAAUACCGGAUAAUAUAUUGAACCGCAUGGUUCAAUAGUGAAAGACGGUUUUGCUGUCACUUAUAGAUGGAUCCGCGCCGCAUUAGCUAGUUGGUAAGGUAACGGCUUACCAAGGCAACGAUGCGUAGCCGACCUGAGAGGGUGAUCGGCCACACUGGAACUGAGACACGGUCCAGACUCCUACGGGAGGCAACAGUAGGGAAUCUUCCGCAAUGGGCGAAAGCCUGACGGAGCAACGCCGCGUGAGUGAUGAAGGUCUUCGGAUCGUAAAACUCUGUUAUUAGGGAAGAACAAAUGUGUAAGUAACUAUGCACGUCUUGACGGUACCUAAUCAGAAAGCCACGGCUAACUACGUG